ACUUUACUUGAUUGCAGAAGUGAGGAAUGGAGUGUGGCAUUUUAUUAUUCAAUGGCAAAGACUGCACACACCUAUGGUAUUAGAAUGCAGAGAGAACCUGAAACUGCUGAUGUGCUAACCGGGGUGGAUCUCCCGGUAUUCUGUAACAAAGAACUUUAACAAUCAUACAGGUUUCUGCUAAAACACAAAACAUAAGAAAAUGUCUGCUGUAAUGAAAUUGUUUGGAAAAGACAACGACGACAAAGAUAAGAAGGACAAAGACAAAAAGCAGGACGGUGAAAAGAAAGACAAGAAAGAUAAAAAGAAAAAGAAAGACAAGAAGGAUGGAAGCAAGUCAGACUCCAGUUCCAGUUCAGACAGUGACUCUGAUGGAGGAAAGAAGAAAAAAGACAAGAAAUAGAAACCCAGGGAUAGAAGAAACCAGAUUUCACCCAUGAAGAAACGCCUCCAUAGAGAGGGCGUACCUGCAU